rnacentral:rRNA from 1 species
UACGGGGGGGGCAAGCGUUGUUCGGAAUUACUGGGCGUAAAGGGCUCGUAGGCUGCCAACUAAGUCAGACGUGAAAUCCCUCGGCUUAACCGGGGAACUGCGUCUGAUACUGGAUGGCUUGAGAUCGGGAGAGGGAUGCGGAAUUCCAGGUGUAGCGGUGAAAUGCGUAGAUAUCUGGAGGAACACCGGUGGCGAAGGCGGCUAUCUGGACAGAGUCUGACGCUGAGGCGCGAAAGCUAGGGGAGCAAACAGG